UACGAAGGGUGCAAGCGUUACUCGGAAUCACUGGGCGUAAAGCGUGCGUAGGCGGUUCGUUAAGUCUGCUGUGAAAGCCCUGGGCUCAACCUGGGAACUGCAGUGGAUACUGGCGGACUAGAGUGUGAUAGAGGAUGGUGGAAUUCCCGGUGUAGCGGUGAAAUGCGUAGAGAUCGGGAGGAACACCAGUGGCGAAGGCGGCCAUCUGGAUCAACACUGACGCUGAGGCACGGAAAGCGUGGGGAGCAAACAGG
rnacentral:rRNA from 1 species